GGUGAUGUCUUCUAACCUUUAUCAAUGAAGGCACUCGGUUAUGCUGUGGGUUUUGGAUAGACCUUAGACUUGAUUGUCGGUAGUGUGGUGUGAGGUGGGGUUGGAUGCCC
rnacentral:ncRNA from 1 species